GACGUAGGGCGCAAGCGUUGUCCGGAUUUAUUGGGCGUAAAGAGCUCGUAGGCGGCUUGUCGCGUCGUUCGUGAAAACCUGCAGCUCAACUGCAGGCUUGCGGUCGAUACGGGCAGGCUAGAGUUCGGUAGGGGAGACUGGAAUUCCUGGUGUAGCGGUGAAAUGCGCAGAUAUCAGGAGGAACACCGGUGGCGAAGGCGGAUCUCUGGGCCUUACCUGACGCUCAGGUGCGAAAGCUAGGGGAGCGAACGG
rnacentral:rRNA from 1 species